CUACUCAAUUGGACAGUAGCAGGUGGAGUUAAAAGAGAAGAAACAAGUGGAGAUGAGCAGGGCAGAGAUGGAGUGGAACCAGCUGCUUGUUCUGUUCAAUUUGGGAAUCGGGUAUCUCUAACUCUUCAUUUGCAAUGCAAGCCUGUAACAUCAUUGAGACCUGCGAGCACGACAGCCCAGCAAGGGCAGGCAUGAAGUCCGCGCAUGAAGUCCGCGAGCUAUCAGCUCAGUAACCUUAAUUUUUAGAAGAUAUAAUAUUUUUGAAAAAUGUGAU